rnacentral:lncRNA from 1 species
CAUCCUUUCCCUUAAGCAUUUCUUUUUGCUCUAAGUGUUUUCCGGACUCUUAGCCAUGGUUCUUCCUCCAAACAUCCUUGCCCUUAAGCAUUUCUUUUUGCUCUUAAGCAUUUUUCAAACUUUUAGCACUGGUUCUUCCUCCGAGCAUCCUUGCCCUUAAAUGUUUCUUUUUUGCUCUUAAGCGUUUUUCGGGCUCUUGGCCCUAAUUUUUCUUCCGAGCAUUUUUGCCUUUAAGCAUCUUCCGGGCUCUUACCCUUAAUUCUUCUUUUGAGCAUUUUUGCUCUUUUGGUCCUGAUUAUUCUUAUGAGCACUUUUGCUCUUAAGCGUUUUUUGGAUUCUUGGCCCUGAUUCUUCUUCUGAGCAUUUUUGCUCUUAAGUGUCUUCUAUGCACCUGCCAUAGUUGGAUUUUUUCUUCAUUUUGUUCUUCAACUCAGCUAAUUUGGUAUCAGGGGUCAAUUCUCGAGGCCAGCAUCUGCCGUGAUUGGAUUUUUUCUUCAUUUUGUUUCUCAACUCGGUUUAUCUAGUGACAGGGGUCAAUUUCCGAGGUCGACACCUGUCGUGGUUGGAUUUUUUUUUCUUCAUUUUAUUUCUCAACUCGGCUUAUCUGGUGCUAGGGGUCAAUUUCCGAGGCUGACACCUGCCAUGGUUGUGUUUUUCUUUAUUUUAUUCCUCAACUUGACUUAUAUGGUAACAAAGGUCAAUUUUCAAGGUCGGCACCUACCGUGAUUGGAUUUUUUUUUUCUUUAUUUUAUUCCUCAACUGAGCUUAUUUGGUGCCAGGGGUCAAUUUCUAAGGCCGACUCCUGCAAUAGUUGGAUUUUUUUUAUUUUGUUCCUCAACUCGGCUUAUCUAGUGUCAGGAGUCAAUUUUCGAGGCUGGAACCUGUCGUGAUUGGUUUUUUUCUUUAGUUUUGUUGUCGUGGCUUCCAGGCUUAUUAGUCUUGCUUGAUAUUUAGGCUCGUGGCCUUACUGGUGCUUCUCGAAUUAUUAGCCAUGAUCGGUGUUCAAGCUCAUGGCCUUACUGUGGCUUCCAAGCUUAUUAGCCUUGCUCGGUAUUCAGGCUCAUUGGUUUUACUCUCGCUUCCCAGCUUAUUAGCCUUAAUCGAUUUUCAGGCUCAUGGUCUUACUGUCGCUUCUAGGUUUAUUAGCCUUGCUCAGUAUUCAAACUCAUUAGCCUUACUAUCGCUUCUAGGGAUAUUAGCAUUGAUCGAUAUUUUGUCUCUG